GAUGAACGCUAGCGGCAGGCUUAAUACAUGCAAGUCGUGGGGCAGCAGGUUUGUAGCAAUACAGAUGCUGGCGACCGGCAAACGGGUGCGGAACACGUACAGAACCUUCCUUGAGCGGGGAAUAGCCCAGAGAAAUUUGGAUUAAUACCCCAUAGUAUAAUGAAGUGGCAUCACUUUAUUAUUAAAGAUUUAUCACUCGAAGAUGGCUGUGCGGCUGAUUAGGUAGUUGGCGGGGUAAAGGCCCACCAAGCCUGCGAUCAGUAACUGGUGUGAGAGCACGACCAGUCACACGGGCACUGAGACACGGGCCCGACUCCUACGGGAGGCAGCAGUAAGGAAUAUUGGUCAAUGGAGGCAACUCUGAACCAGCCAUGCCGCGUGGAGGAUGAAGGUCCUCUGGAUUGUAAACUUCUUUUACAUGGGACGAAAAAAAGGCUUUUCUAAGUCGUCUGACGGUACCAUAUGAAUAAGCACGGCU
rnacentral:rRNA from 1 species